rnacentral:rRNA from 1 species
GAUGAACGCUGGCGGCGUGCCUAAUACAUGCCAGUCGAGCGAACAGAUGAGGAGCUUGCUCCUCUGACGUUAGCGGCGGACGGGUGAGUAACACGUGGAUAACCUACCUAUAAGACUGGGAUAACUUCGGGAAACCGGAGCUAAUACCGGAUAAUAUAUUGAACCGCAUGGUUCAAUAGUGAAAGACGGUUUUGCUGUCACUUAUAGAUGGAUCCGCGCCGCAUUAGCUAGUUGGUAAGGUAACGGCUUACCAAGGCAACGAUGCGUAGCCGACCUGAGAGGGUGAUCGGCCACACUGGAACUGAGACACGGUCCAGACUCCUACGGGAGGCAGCAGUAGGGAAUCUUCCGCAAUGGGCGAAAGCCUGACGGAGCAACGCCGCGUGAGUGAUGAAGGUCUUCGGAUCGUAAAACUCUGUUAUUAGGGAAGAACAAAUGUGUAAGUAACUAUGCACGUCUUGACGGUACCUAAUCAGAACGCCACGGCUAACUACGUG